UGAGGGAAAGGCGAAAAGAACCCCGGCGAGGGGAGUGAAAAAGAACCUGAAACCGUGUACGUACAAGCAGUGGGAGCACCCUUCGGGGUGUGACUGCGUACCUUUUGUAUAAUGGGUCAGCGACUUAUAUUCUGUAGCAAGGUUAACCGUAUAGGGGAGCCGGAGGGAAACCGAGUCUUAAUUGGGCGUUAAGUUGCAGGGUAUAGACCCGAAACCCGGUGAUCUAG
rnacentral:rRNA from 2 species